rnacentral:rRNA from 1 species
UACAGAGGUCUCAAGCGUUGUUCGGAUUCAUUGGGCGUAAAGGGCGCGUAGGCGGCGGGGUAAGUCGGGUGUGAAAUCUCAGAGCUCAACUCUGAAAUGGCACUUGAUACUGCUCUGCUAGAGGACUGGAGAGGAGAUUGGAAUUCACGGUGUAGCAGUGAAAUGCGUAGAUAUCUGGAGGAACACCGGUGGCGAAGGCGGCAUCCUGGACCGGUAUUGACGCUGGAGGCGCGAAAGCCUAGGGGGAGCAAACGGGG